GCAUAAUGAUGAUGAAAUAUUCAAACCUCAAAUGUCUCAGAUGAUGAAUUGAAUACCUCCUACUCAUUCUGA